UACGUAGGGGGCAAGCGUUGUCCGGAAUUAUUGGGCGUAAAGAGCGCGUAGGCGGUCCGGUAAGUCGGUUGUGAAAGUCGGGGGCUCAACCCUCGGAUGCCGAUCGAUACUGUCGGGCUCGAGUCCGGAAGAGGAGUGUGGAAUUCCUGGUGUAGCGGUGAAAUGCGCAGAUAUCAGGAGGAACACCAAUGGCGAAGGCAGCACUCUGGGACGUGACUGACGCUGAGACGCGAAAGCGUGGGGAGCAAACAGG
rnacentral:rRNA from 1 species